GCAGACACAUUCCAGCCAAUCAGCAGCAGACCCUCCCUCCCAGACUCUCCCACCUCCUAGACAGCAUCCAUUUUACAUUCAUUGUGAAGCUGCAUUCUUAGUGAGCUGUCCAGGAGGUGGGAGGGUCUGGGAGGGAGGGUCUGCUGCUGAUUGGCUGGAAUGUGUCUG
rnacentral:miRNA from 1 species